GGGUUGAGAUCAUCAACCGACCGAGGCCGAGCUGCACGACCCACUCCGACUUCUACCAGUGCCAAGUCAACUCAACUCCACUCUUCGACGGGAGGCAGCCAACCUACCCGCCCGAAUUCCCGAUCCAGCCAGCGAUCCCGGGCUCCCGGCGCCGGUAGCGGAACACGGGAGGAAAAAAAAUGGACGCGUCGCACCCGCAGGGCGAGGCCGCGGCGGGGUGGUUGACGGUCGAGGAGUGGAGCGGCUCGUCCGCCUCCGCGCUCUCCCGCACCGCCGUCCUCACCGCCUCCGCCUCCUCUCUCACCUCCCACAGGUUCGGCAGCCGGUGGGGGCGGAUCGGCGGCCGCAUGCUAGGCGCCUUCGUGCCCGAGGGCUUUCCUGGGAGCGUGACUCCGGAUUACGUUCCUUUCCAGAUGUGGGAUACAUUGCAAGGGCUCUCCACAUACAUCCGUGCAAUGUUGUCUACACAAGCUCUUUUAGGUGCGAUCGGAGUCGGAGAACAAUCUGCUACUGUCAUAGGUGCUACUUUUCAGUGGUUUCUGAGGGAUUUGACAGGAAUGCUUGGAGGGAUAUUGUUCACCUUUUAUCAGGGAUCUAAUCUUGAUAGCAAUGCGAAAAUGUGGCGUCUAGUUGCAGACUUUAUGAAUGACCUUGGAAUGUUGAUGGACCUCUUAAGCCCUUUGUUUCCUUCAUCAUUGAUAGUUAUAAUGUGCUUAGGCAGCCUAUCUAGGUCAUUCACUGGUGUUGCUAGUGGAGCAACUAGAGCAGCAUUAACACAGCAUUUUGCACUUGCAAAAAAUGCAGCUGAUAUUUCUGCGAAGGAGGGCAGUCAGGAGACACUUGCUACAAUGGUAGGGAUGGGAUUGGGAAUGCUGCUGGCUCACAUAACCAGAGGUCAUGCUUUCAGUGUAUGGGCGUCAUUCCUUUCUCUCACAAUGUUCCACAUGUAUGCAAAUUAUAAGGCAGUCAAGUCACUUUCACUCACUACGCUAAACGAUGAGAGAACUUCCAUCCUACUACAGCACUUCAAGGAAUGUGGCGAAGUUCUUGCACCGCAGGAGGUUUCUCAGAAGGAACAUAUUCUUCCUUUUUGGUCAAGCUGGAGGAAAUUAAUUAGAAUUAAACUGCCACAUGAGCGUGUGCACUUAGGUGCUAAAGCCUCUAUGCUUACACAUACUGACAUGUUGGAGAUUGCAAAAACAGGAUCCCACUAUGAAAACACCAACUACCUUUUGCUGGAUAAGGAAGGCGGUGUUCACAUUUUCAUCCACAAGCAGGCAGCACCAGCUGAUGUUUUGAAGUCCUUCAUACAUGGACUCAUGCUAGCAAGUUCGGCGUGGAACGUCAAAUCUCAGCAUGCAGAGGCUAGUCGAUGGAUGGACGAGAAGUAUACCACUUUUAUCUCCAAGCUGCAGGCGAAGGGUUACUCAACAGAGCGCCUUCUGUCGCAUUCAAUUGUUUGGAGGGCACGCUGGCUUCACGGCACGCUGGAUGAAAAGCUCAAGUAGGAGGAACGAAGCCCUACGGGCUUAUCGUCCAAAUCUAACUUGGGUGAGACCGCGGUAACAUGAAUACAUGACAAAAGACAGACGCAUGAGUUUCACUAAGACCAGCAAAUCUUGUUUUCCCUAUCGACAAUGUAGCAAGGUCUUCACUACCAGGUGCUGGCCUGUAUGCUCAAGCUCAGCAUGUCCUACAAAUCACUGUGAUGGGAACUCUUCGCUGCAUACAACGCACCUACAGGAAAUGCUCUUGCUA